rnacentral:rRNA from 1 species
UACGGAGGGUGCAAGCGUUGUCCGGAAUCAUUGGGCGUAAAGCGCGUGUAGGCGGCUCGAUAAGUCCGCUCUGAAAGCCCGGGGCUCAACCCCGGGAGGCGGGCGGAAACUGUCGGGCUAGAGUCCGGAAGAGGCGAGUGGAAUUCCCGGUGUAGCGGUGAAAUGCGCAGAUAUCGGGAGGAACACCAAUGGCGAAGGCAGCUCGCUGGGACGUGACUGACGCUGAGACGCGAAAGCGUGGGGAGCAAACAGG